AGAGUUUGAUCCUGGCUCAGGAUGAACGCUAGCGGGAGGCCUAACACAUGCAAGCCGAGCGGUAGAAGAUCUUCGGAUCUUUGAGAGCGGCGUACGGGUGCGGAACACGUGUGCAACCUGCCUUUAUCAGGGGGAUAGCCUUUCGAAAGGAAGAUUAAUACCCCAUAAUAUAAUGAGUGGCAUCACUUAUUAUUGAAAACUCCGGUGGAUAGAGAUGGGCACGCGCAAGAUUAGAUAGUUGGUAGGGUAACGGCCUACCAAGUCAGUGAUCUUUAGGGGGCCUGAGAGGGUGAUCCCCCACACUGGUACUGAGACACGGACCAGACUCCUACGGGAGGCAGCAGUGAGGAAUAUUGGACAAUGGGUGAGAGCCUGAUCCAGCCAUCCCGCGUGAAGGACGACGGCCCUAUGGGUUGUAAACUUCUUUUGUAUAGGGAUAAACCUUUCCACGUGUGGAAAGCUGAAGGUACUAUACGAAUAAGCACCGGCUAACUCCGUG
rnacentral:rRNA from 1 species